rnacentral:rRNA from 1 species
GACGAACGCUGGCGGCGUGCUUAACACAUGCAAGUCGAACGGAAAGGCCCUGCUUGCAGGGUACUCGAGUGGCGAACGGGUGAGUAACACGUGGGUGAUCUGCCCUGCACUUCGGGAUAAGCCUGGGAAACUGGGUCUAAUACCGGAUAUGACCUUCCAUGUAGUGUGGGGGGUGGAAAGAUUUAUCGGUGUGGGAUGAGCCCGCGGCCUAUCAGCUUGUUGGUGGGGUAAUGGCCUACCAAGGCGUCGACGGGUAGCCGGCCUGAGAGGGUGGACGGCCACAUUGGGACUGAGAUACGGCCCAGACUCCUACGGGAGGCGGCAGUGGGGAAUAUUGCACAAUGGGCGGAAGCCUGAUGCAGCGACGCCGCGUGGGGGAUGACGGCCUUCGGGUUGUAAACCUCUUUCGACAGGGACGAAGCUUCGGUGACGGUACCUGUAUAAGAAGCACCGGCUAACUACGUG